AAACUUUGAAGGCUAAAAACAAGGCAAAACCAGUUACUACUAAUCUUAAGAAGAUAAACAUUAUAAAUCCUGAAAAAGUCAACAGAAUGAACAGAGCUUUUGUAAAUAUACAGAAAGAACUAGUAAACUUUUCAAAAAGCCUUCCUCUUAAGUCUGUGCAAAAAGAGCUGAAGCACCAUGAAAAUGAGCCAGCUAACGUUGACGAAGCGACAUGACUAAUGUAGUACAGUGACAGCGUAUCACAUUUCCCCAAAGAUCAAUAAAUUCAAUAUUUCAUAC
rnacentral:lncRNA from 1 species